CCCACCCCCAACGGACUUCUGCUAAGCCCUUCCCAGCCAACUAGGAGGUCUGCCCGGAGGCAUCCGUUGAGGAGGGAGCUCUGUUGAGGUGGCAGCCCAGCUGACGGUCCACUCACCUCCGUCCUCCACUCCGCCAGUUGGGCUCGCCACCCUGCCCUCUCCCCUCGGACCUCUUCCACGGCGUCCUCCCGGCUCCUCCCCGUGCCUCCUUGCUUCCUCGGUCCCCAGUGCCCCCGGCUCCCUUGUCUCAGUCUCCUCGGUUCCCCGUGCCUGUGUCUGCCCGGCGUCCGCCGCUCCCUCACCUCCACUCCCUCAACCCCGUAUCCCCUUCAAUAAAGCCUGUUCUUCCCCAG